rnacentral:lncRNA from 1 species
UGCAGCCUGCACAGGCUUGUUGACGAGCUUGCCCUCUCCCACACAGGACUUCCCAGAGCCUCCAGGUGCACAGAGGAGGCACCCAAAGUGACCAUAUGCACAUCUGAGGCAGGGAGGCUGCUCACUCUUCCCAGGUCCUGUUCCUGCAUGAGGAUGGGGGCUUCCUUCUCAGGUCACACAGCCAGUGGACAGGGCAGGCAGCUGCCUCCUGACCUCCCUGCCUCCUGCCUGGGGAGGAGGAAUCUAUCUGGUGACACUAAUGAAGAGGGAUCCUUUUCUUCAGGAUACUUGAGCGUUGUGCUCCCAGGAAAGACUUCUAUCCACAUCAGCCCUGCCAUCAUCCAGCAGCUGCUGAGCGCCCGCCCGGUGCAGCCCAGCCCUGCAGAGAGGACAGCUCUGCUGACAGCAGCAACUUCGCAUCUGCUCCAACACCCCAGUUGCCCUGCUCCUGUUCUCCCCUGGUUCCAAAGUGUCCUUUUGCUUGCUUUUCAUUUAUGGUGGCAUCUCAGGCCGCCUUGCUUCCGUUCAGAGCCCAAACCAGGGCAAGUCCCAUCACAGGAUGCUUGUCAGCCACAGAGAAGAGCUUCUGAGAGUCCUUGAGUUUGGCCCUUUAUGGUGUCAGGGAGUCUCUGGGCUGUAUGUCCUUCCACAUUAACAAGGACCCAAAGCUAAGAAAGAAGACUUGUAGCAAGUUUCCCAGGAGGAAUUCUGUGGAAGAAUAUCUCCCCUAGGUUCCAUGGGUUUAGGACAAAGACCACAACGUAGGAGCCAGGAAACCCA